ACAUGCCUACAACACAACGUUAAUGCACCAGAUCCCAUUAUAACUCCAUAUUUAAGCGCACUCAAGAUAGAGUAGUACUGGGAUGGGUGACCACCCAGAAAGUCCUAGUAUUUUACAUGCC
rfam:Picea glauca, whole genome shotgun sequence.